GCGAGAAGACUCAGUAAGGCAUACUCGGAGCCAAGUGGAGGUUACCUGUAGGCGGAAAAAGUUGAGCGACUGUUAUUUUUACCCCUUGUUAGAUCGAUAUUUGGCUUUGUAACAGCAUCGAGAAGUACUAUUAUAUGCACGAUUUCUUUUUCAAGGAUGGAGUUAAAAAGAAACUGGAGAAAAUAAAGAAGAAUCAUCUUUAUAUUUAUGCAACAAGAAAGAAAAAUGAAGCUACUCAUCUCAAAGCAUACUGGAGUCAAAGGAAUAAAACUAUACCUAAACAAAACCAUGUCAAUGAAGAAUUGGAAAACCAGAGCCUAUCAAGAAUUCACUGCAGCCAUCAAGAACUGAUUGAAAACGAAAUAACUUCCGGAGUGCAUGAAGUAGUGUACUAUGAAGAAAGCUAUCCGGCAAAGAAAAAAUUUAAACUUGAUAGCUGCAGUUAUCAAGUUCCGGAAGGUAGAGACUCACGAUGUCACCUUGGCAGCCAGGGAGUAAAAACGGCACAAGAAAUUUCUUCAAGAGAAAAUGACACAUCAGAUGAAGAGAAUAACUACUCUGUAACCAAUGUCCUGCACAAUGAAGAUGGGCAGUGUAUGUAAGUCCCUUAGCCCACUUUAAAAAUAAGUUAAUUACAAAGUGUUUUUAAUACAUGCUAUUUUUCUUUCUUCAACUAUUUCCUGAAAAAUUGUUUACUUUUUUUCCUUCGUAUCAUUUGCACACGGUCGGGUAGUUAUAAUAUUACACGAAACUAGACAUUCUUUCGAAACUAUAUUUCUAUCUAAAUAAAUCAAUAUAAAUAGUUAAAUGUUAUUGCUACUGUAAUGUGGCUCUUUCAGCUCUACAGCCAUGUCUUACACAGAAAUGCAACCGCCUCUGAAACUAUUUGAGAUGGAAGCAGGAUGUUCUUUCUGGUCAACCACCGAAGGAGCCAUUGACAUUCCAUAUGAGCUGGUGGACAGGAAUGAGCCAACUGUAGACAGUAGAUGUAUCAACAAUUCAGAGACAAGCAAUCAGGUUAGCUGAAUAACAAUUAUAUUGCUUUUAAUUAUAUUGACCUGUUAAAAAAUUACAGUUAAGUUAUAAUUUAACUUUACGAAUAUACUUCAAUUGAAAAAUUACACAACUACUCAAACUACAUAAAUGUUUUUAUCAGAAAUUUCACUAAAAACAGGGCAAAAAAAUGAAUACAGUAAAAAAUCUUAUCCCCAUUUAGUGACAAUAGACAGCAUAUUUUACUGACCUUACUUAAAAGUGAUACACCAUCCCCAGUUAAAACAUAAACAGCAUUCAUAAGAACACUGAUUUAAGCACUGAAAAUGUUUAUAUUGUAGCAAGACUUUUCAAAGUAUGCAUCAUACAUUGGACAAAAAACUAUUAAAGAUACUACAGAUACUAUAAGUACUUUUACUGCUAUCAAUAUUCCUGUUUUAUUC